UUCCACUCCUCCGGAUAGAUCAGGUUCUUCAUAGACCAACUCGUAGCCGCCUUCCGGUGCUCCGUCAAUGUUGCUGGCACCGAGGCUAUGAGUUGUGCUUGCAAAUUUUGUUAGGUGUGGUCGGUUACUCCCUUUGUCCAUUAAAGGAUGUUUCAAAUUUGAUCUAUACAAAAUAGUAUGUCUACAUAAAUGUAAAUUUAAACAAAGUUGAGACA